GGAGCAAAUUGAUCACUCAGCACUUUCUGUGGUCCAGUAACUUUCAUCCAGCCUUGCUGCUUUCCCUGUGAGCUUUGCCAUCAGGCCAAAACACGAAAGGAACGCUUGCAGAAUUUUCUGCAAAUAUUCUCCAUUUUUGGCAUGGCAGCCCCCGUUUUCACCACCUACCCACAAUGCCCCAGAAUGGCGCUAGGGGGGCAGGGCACUGCUGAAAGAAUGCUGGCCAGACUGUCACACAGUGACUGAUAAUUGCUCUUACUGGAGAUGGCAUCAGCAAAGAACUUCUCUUAGAUAACCAUCCAACCCUCGGGUCCUUAUUCGGGUCAAUUUCAUGGUCAACCCAAUGAAGGCCUUCUAUUAUCUUCACAGCAUGGUGACCCAUCAAGUUGACAACAUCUAGAAAGAUUUCCCAUGCUGAAGGAGUUGAGC